GACGAACGCUGGCGGCGUGCUUAACACAUGCAAGUCGAACGGAAAGGCCCUGCUUUUGUGGGGUGCUCGAGUGGCGAACGGGUGAGUAACACGUGAGUAACCUGCCCUUCACUUUGGGAUAACUUCAGGAAACUGGGGCUAAUACCGGAUAGGAGCUCCUGCUGCAUGGUGGGGGUGGGAAAGUUUCGGCGGUUGGGGAUGGACUCGCGGCUUAUCAGCUUGUUGGUGGGGUAGUGGCUUACAAAGGCUUUGACGGAUAGCCGGCCUGAGAGGGUGACGGGCCACAUUGGGAAUGAGAUGCGGCACAGACUCCUAGGGGAGGCAGCAGUGGGGAAUAUUGCACAAUGGGCGGAAGCCUGAUGCAGCAACGCCGCGUGCGGGAUGACGGCUUUCGGGUUGUAAACCGCUUUCUCCUGUGACGAAGCGUGAGUGACGGUAAUGGGUAAAGAAGCACCGGCUAACUACGUG
rnacentral:rRNA from 1 species